GGAAGAAAAGCGGCUGCAGUUUGGCAGUGCCGGGCACGUGCUCGGGGCUGUGGCAGAAAGGGCCAAAACGUGGCCCAGUUUAAUCGCCGCUGGCAGCAGAGAAAGCAAGCCUGCAGCUCCUUACCAACUCUGAGCUGAGCCACCCUGGGUGAGACCGAGGGGUGGAAAAAAGGACAUCUACCAGCUUCCUCCAUCAGCACAGCUUUGCAUUUUCUUCAGCCUCAUACAGCCCGGGGCAUGCACGUGGCCCUUGAGGCCUGGGUGGAUUUAACCCUUCCCUAGAAACAUGAAACUCUAAAGCACAACUCUUCCUUGAGAGAAAGAAGAUGGAAAACACAGGGUACGUGGAACAGACAUCGAAUGAAGUCAGUUAGAUUAGAAGUGAAAGAACUAAUAAUAUUGGAAUUGGAUUGAAGAAGUAGACAUUUUUAACUGGACUUCUCUAAGGUAAACUAUGGAGAAAUGGACUGUUCUUUUUCGCAUCUUAGUGUUGUUGGGUAGAAUGCUAUUCUAAUCAAAAUUGAGGACUGAUGUAAUUGAGAUUUAUUUGGGAACUUUAAAGCCCUCGCUCCUGGGUCAAAAGGAGGUCUCAGCCUUUAAGAUGAAGAUGAUUUUAGACUAGAAGAAGUAUUCAUAAAUAGUACCCCAAAUACACUAAGAGGCCUUACUAAUAGAACAUCUCAGUCUGCAAAAACUCCAGGCAGUAGCAGAUGUGUGACAUUGGGAGCACUGGACUAUUUUGUCUUACGGCAAGCGUGACCUUAAAAACCCUAGAGAGACUUUUCUCCUAAAGUAAUGAUUUUCAGCUUCUGACUGAACUGCUUAUCACGCUGCUCUAGGAAUUUUCCCAGUGAGAUUGGACGCACUGCAUGUUUGAACACCCACACACAUGACAACGACUGGGAAUGAAGAAGAAAGAAGAAGGGAAAAUCUCCAUCCUGCUAAUUCUCCAUUUUUGAGCAGCUGCAGCCUCUCUUUGCCCACAAAAUUUCCCUGUUUUUUCCCCUGACCCUUCCUUUUACAAGGAUAUUUUAAACUUAAAAUAUAAACUGGGGGUUUAAAAUUCCUCUACACCACUUUCUUAGCUUUAGCAUUGAGAAAUUGGCUCGUAAAGUGUUUCUGUAAAUUCACUUCUACUUUGGAUCUCUGUGUCAUUUUCUUGUGAACAUGGACUUCUGAAGGAGGUUUUGGUUAGAUUUUAGGACU